GAUGAACGCUGGCGGCGUGCCUAAUACAUGCAAGUCGAGCGAACGGACGAGAAGCUUGCUUCUCUGAUGUUAGCGGCGGACGGGUGAGUAACACGUGGAUAACCUACCUAUAAGACUGGGAUAACUUCGGGAAACCGGAGCUAAUACCGGAUGAUAUUUUGAACCGCAUGGUUCAAAAGUGAAAGACGGUCUUGCUGUCACUUAUAGAUGGAUCCGCGCUGCAUUAGCUAGUUGGUAAGGUAACGGCUUACCAAGGCAACGAUGCAUAGCCGACCUGAGCGGGUGAUCGGCCACACUGGAACUGAGACACGGUCCAGACUCCUACGGGAGGCAGCAGUAGGGAAUCUUCCGCAAUGGGCGAAAGCCUGACGGAGCAACGCCGCGUGAGUGAUGAAGGUCUUCGGAUCGUAAAACUCUGUUAUUAGGGAAGAACAUAUGUGUAAGUAACUGUGCACAUCUUGACGGUACCUAAUCAGAAAGCCACGGCUAACUACGUG
rnacentral:rRNA from 1 species